rnacentral:rRNA from 1 species
CCAGACUCCUACGGGAGGCAGCAGUGGGGAAUAUUGGACAAUGGGCGCAAGCCUGAUCCAGCCAUACCGCGUGGGUGAAGAAGGCCUUCGGGUUGUAAAGCCCUUUUGUUGGGAAAGAAAUCCAGCCGGCUAAUACCUGGUUGGGAUGACGGUACCCAAAGAAUAAGCGCCGGCUAACUUCGUGCCAGCAGCCGCGGUAAUACGAAGGGUGCAAGCGUUACUCGGAAUUACUGGGCGUAAAGCGUGCGUAGGUGGUUAUUUAAGUCCGUUGUGAAAGCCCUGGGCUCAACCUGGGAACUGCAGUGGAUACUGGAUGACUAGAAUGUGGUAGAGGGUAGCGGAAUUCCUGGUGUAGCAGUGAAAUGCGUAGAGAUCAGGAGGAACAUCCAUGGCGAAGGCAGCUACCUGGACCAACACUGACACUGAGGCACGAAAGCGUGGGGAGCAAACAGGAUUAGAUACCCUGGUAGUCCACGCCCUAAACGAUGCGAACUGGAUGUUGGGUGCAAUUUGGCACGCAGUAUCGAAGCUAACGCGUUAAGUUCGCCGCCUGGGGAGUACGGUCGCAGGACUGAAACUCAAAGGAAUUGACGGGGGCCCCGCACAAG